rnacentral:lncRNA from 1 species
CUGUACUGUCCAUAAGGUGUCCUGUCCCGUGUAGCCUAUAUCCUGUCUAUCAGCUGUACUGUCCAUAAGGUGUCCUGUCCCGUGUAGCCUAUAUCCUGUCUAUCAGCUGUACUGUCCAUAAGGUGUCCUGUUCUGUGUAGUCUAUAUCCUGGCAUCUCAAUCUGUGUAAGAUGAACACAAUUAUAUAAUUAUUGUUCAUUUUGCUUGAUUGCUCCUUAUCGCUUCUGAAUGUCUUCACCUUAUGUCUUAUUUAAUUCCAAAGCUAAAUGAAUCAGAAGACUGAGGGUGAAAAUGGAGAAGGUUGAAGGCGCUAAGAAAAGUGCCAUCUAGUGGCAAGAAACGUUCCCCCAAGAUUGCUCCAAUGCACUAUGAAGGAGACAUGAACGAUGCAGACAAAUACAAAGCAGAGACGUGCUGCCCUCCUUAGCUCUGUGAUCCAAAAGCUCCGGCAGCAGUACAGCGAUGCUCCCUUAGAGAUCCACCACCACAGGGACGUCAAGACCGGGCCGUGAGCAGGAAAAACUUUGAAGAGUCAAUGAUGCGUCUGCAAGUGCCCCAAAAUGAGAGAAACACUUAAAAUGAGGCAUGCAUGCUAGGAAUGUCUGGUCAGCUAAGUGACAUCACAGCCCUGAAGGGCAGAGGGGGACAGGUGAGUUGGACACAUUUCAGUGACAUGCCACUCCUUACUGCCAUGCAGUGAUCGAUAAUAGUGCACAAAACAUUAAGAACACCAAGUUGCACCCCGCUGUUUUUCCCCUCAGAACAGCCUCUACAAGGUGUCAAGCCAAGCGUUCUACAGGGAUGCUGGCCCAUGUUAACAUUUUAGACAUUCAGCAGACGCU